UCACACAAAGCCUAUUUUGGUGGUCUCUUC
rnacentral:piRNA from 1 species